AUUCCAGCUCCAAUAGCGUAUAUUUAAGUUGUUGCAGUUAAAAAGCUCGUAGUUGGAUUUCGGAUGGGAUCUGCCGGUCCGCCUUUGAGGUGUGUACUGGUAGGUCCUAUCUUGUUGUCGGGGACUAGCUCCUGGGCUUCACUGUCCGGGACUAGGAGCCGACGAAGUUACUUUGAGUAAAUUAGAGUGUUCAAAGCAAGCCUACGCUCUGAAUAUAUUAGCAUGGAAUAACACGAUAGGACUCUGGCUUAUCUUGUUGGUCUGUGAGACCAGAGUAAUGAUUAAGAGGGACAGUCGGGGACAUUCGUAUUUCAUUGUCAGAGGUGAAAUUCUUGGAUUUAUGAAAGACGAACUUCUGCGAAAGCAUUUGUCAAGGAUGUUUUCAUCA
rnacentral:rRNA from 1 species